GGUGAGUAAUAUAUCGGAACGUACCAUUCAGUGGGGGAUAACGUAGCGAAGGUUACGCUAAUACCGCACAUUCUGUGAGCAGGAAAGCAGGGGAUCGCAAGACCUUGCGCUGAUUGAGCGGCCGAUAUCAGAUUAGCUAGUUGGUGAGGUAAAGGCUCACCAAGGCGACGAUCUGUAGCGGGUCUGAGAGGAUGAUCCGCCACACUGGAACUGAGACACGGUCCAGACUCCUACGGGAGGCAGCAGUGGGGAAUUUUGGACAAUGGGGGCAACCCUGAUCAGCCAUGCCGCGUGAGUGAAGAAGGCCUUCGGGUUGUAAAGCUCUUUCGGCCGGGAAAAAAUCGCAUAGGUUAAUACCCUGUGUGGAUGAUGGUACCGGAAUAAGAAGCACCGGCUAACUACGUGCCAGCAGCCGCGGUAAUACGUAGGGUGCGAGCGUUAAUCGGAAUUACUGGGCGUAAAGCGUGCGCAGGCGGUUUGAUAAGACAGGCGUGAAAUCCCCGGGCUCAACCUGGGAACUGCGUUUGUGACUGUCUCACUAGAGUACGGCAGAGGGGGGUGGAAUUCCACGUGUAGCAGUGAAAUGCGUAGAGAUGUGGAGGAACACCAAUGGCGAAGGCAGCCCCCUGGGUCGAUACUGACGCUCAUGCACGAAAGCGUGGGUAGCAAACAGGAUUAGAUACCCUGGUAGUCCACGCCCUAAACGAUGUCAACUAGGUGUUGGGAGGGUAAAACCUUUUAGUACCGUAGCUAACGCGAGAAGUUGACCGCCUGGGGAGUACGGCCGCAAGGUUAAAACUCAAAGGAAUUGACGGGGACCCGCACAAGCGGUGGAUGAUGUGGAUUAAUUCGAUGCAACGCGAAAAACCUUACCUACCCUUGACAUGUUCAGGAGUCCGAAGAGAUUUGGAUGUGCUCGAAAGAGAACUGGAACACAGGUGCUGCAUGGCUGUCGUCAGCUCGUGUCGUGAGAUGUUGGGUUAAGUCCCGCAACGAGCGCAACCCUUGUCGUUAAUUGCCAUCAUUUAGUUGGGCACUUUAACGAGACUGCCGGUGACAAACCGGAGGAAGGUGGGGAUGACGUCAAGUCCUCAUGGCCCUUAUGGGUAGGGCUUCACACGUCAUACAAUGGUCGGUACAAAGGGUUGCCAACCCGCGAGGGGGAGCUAAUCCCAUAAAGCCGAUCGUAGUCCGGAUCGCAGGCUGCAACUCGCCUGCGUGAAGUCGGAAUCGCUAGUAAUCGUGGAUCAGCAUGUCACGGUGAAUACGUUCCCGGGUCUUGUACACACCGCCUGUCACACCAUGGGAGCGGGUUCCGCCAGAAGUAGGUAGCCUAACCGCAAGGAGGGCGCUUACCA
rnacentral:rRNA from 1 species